AGACGUCUACAUUAGAUACCCGCGUAGUCCCAGCCGUAAACGAUGCGCGUUAGGUGUAUCGACGACCACGAGUCGUCGAGGUGCCGAAGGGAAACCGUGAAACGUGCCGCCUGGGAAGUACGGUCGCAAGGCUGAAACUUAAAGGAAUUGGCGGGGAGCACCACAACGGGUGGAGCCUGCGGUUUAAUUGGACUCAACGCCGGGAAGCUCACCGGAUAAGACAGCGGAAUGAUUGCCGGGCUGAAGACUCUGCAUGACUAGCUG
rnacentral:rRNA from 1 species